AACAUGACUCUCGGCAAUGGAUAUCUCAGCUCUCACCAUGAUGAAGAAUGUAGAAAAAUGCGAUACUUAGUGUGAAUUGCAGAAUCCCGUGAAUCAUUGAGUCUUUAAAUGCAAGUUGCCCUUGAGGCUCCAGCCAAGGGCACAUCUGAUUGGGCGUCGCAC
rnacentral:rRNA from 1 species